AUUGAACGCUGGCGGCAUGCCUUACACAUGCAAGUCGAACGGCAGCACGGGAGCAAUCCUGGUGGCGAGUGGCGAACGGGUGAGUAAUAUAUCGGAACGUGCCCAGUCGGGGGGGAUAACGCCGCGAAAGCUGUGCUAAUACCGCAUACGAACUACGGAUGAAAGCGGGGGAUCGCAAGACCUCGCGCGAUUGGAGCGGGCGAUAUCAGAUUAGCUAGUUGGUGGGGUAAAGGCCCACCAAGGCGACGAUCUGGAGCUGGUCUGAGGGGACGACCAGCCACACUGGAACUGAGACACGGUCCAGACUCCUACGGGAGGCAGCAGUGGGGAAUUUUGGACAAUGGGCGCAAGCCUGAUCCAGCAAUGCCGCGUGCAGGAUGAAGGCCUUCGGGUUGUAAACUGCUUUUGUACGGAACGAAACGGCCCUUUCUAAUACAGGGGGCUAAUGACGGUACCGUAAGAAUAAGCACCGGCUAACUACGUGCCAGCAGCCGCCGUAA
rnacentral:rRNA from 1 species